rnacentral:rRNA from 1 species
UAGAGGAAGUAAAAGUCGUAACAAGGUUUCCGUAGGUGAACCUGCGGAAGGAUCAUUAUCGAAAUUAAGUGAGGGUUUGAUGCUGGCAGUCUUGUCUUAGUCUGCAUGUGCUCGCUCUCUUUAAUCCACUCCCACAUGUGCACCCCGGAUAGGGUUAGGCUUAGCCUUGGGCCUAGGCGAGCUGCCCUUCUACAAACUCCUUAUUUUGAUCUAUUUGGGUGUUUACUUGCCGAAAGGCAGAAUAGAAUGGAAUACAACUUUUAACAACGGAUCUCUUGGUUCUCGCAUCGAUGAAGAACGCAGCGAAAUGCGAUAAGUAAUGUGAAUUGCAGAAUUCAGUGAAUCAUCGAAUCUUUGAACGCACCUUGCACUCUCUGGUAUUCCGGAGAGUACGCCUGUUCGAGUGUCAUAAGACUCUCAAAUAGAGCUUUCUUAUAAAAUCUCUGUUUGGAUUUGGGCUUUGCUGUGUCAAUUAGUUAUUGUUUGCGGCUGGUCUUAAAUGUAUUAGCUGAUCCCUUGUAGUAGCGGGGAAUUUGGUUCUACUCGGCGUGAUAAUUAUCUGACGUUGAGGACGGUCCUCUAGUCUUCCCCUUUUUUUGGGUUAGAGAGAACUGGCCAAGGGCUCCCUCUGUAUAUAUUUGUGGAUUGCUUCUAAUUGUCUUUGGACGUGUAUAACAAUGAUCUGACCUCGAAUCAGGUGGGAUUACCCGCUGAACUUAAGCAUAU